rnacentral:misc_RNA from 1 species
AAGACUAUAGACCUGCGGAGUACCUGCGGAAGGAUCAUUACAAAUUAUGGCGAACCUCGCGUUUCGCGGGGUUUUGCGUCCAUUUUUCGUAUUUAAAACAUCCCACUCUUUAAAAAAAAAUUAUGAUAAAAAAUAAAAAAAGAUAACUUUUAACAAUGGAUCUCU